rnacentral:lncRNA from 1 species
CCUAGAUGAGCUGACAGACCCUGGCUGAGCAGGAAGUGGCAGGGUCAGGAAAAGCUAGGCCACAAGUUUUCCCUUGAGAGCCUUAGAGACUGCAUCUCACCAUGUUGCUCAGGCUGUUCUCGAACUCCUGGGCUCAAGCAAUCCUCCUACCUCAGCCUCUCAAAGUGUUGGGAUUAUAGAUGUGAGCCACUGUACCCGGCCCUGGUUGCAUUCUUCAUUAUUAGGAACAUAAGAGUCUAGCCCUGUCGCCCAGGCUGGAGUGCCAUGGUUUGAACUCUACUCACCGCAACCUCCACCUCCCAGGUUCAAAUGAUUCUCCUGCCUCAGCCUCCUGAAUAUCUGGGAUUACAGGCCAAAGAUUAUUAAUGCAUGAUGUGUAACAAUUUCAGGCAAAGCUCAGGGGCACAGGUGCAGGAUGUGCAGCUUUGUUACAUAGGUAAAGGUGUGCCAUGGAGGUUUGCCGCACAAAUCAUCCCAUCCCCCAGGUAUUAAGCCCAGCAUCCACUAGAUAUUCUUCCUGAUCCUCUCUUUCCUCCCAGCCCCUGACCCUCUGACAGGCCCCAGUGUGCGUUGUUCCCCACCAUGUGUCCAUGUGUUUUCAUCAUUUAGCUCCCACUUUUAAAUGAGAACGUGUGCUAUUUGGUUUUCUGUUUCUGCAUUAAUUUUCUAAGGAUAAUGGCCUCCAGCUCCAUCCAUGUCCCUGCAAGGACAUGAUCUCAUUCCUUUUUAUGGCUGCAUAGUAUUCCAUGGUGUAUAUUUACCACAUUUUCUUGAAUACUGGAUAUAUAAAUAUAAAUAUAAAUAAAUGUAACCUCAGUCACACUAAUGUUCUAUAUUUUUCUUUUUUUUUUCCCCUCUGUAUCCCUGCCUCCACCACCACCCAAGUGUUGUAUAAGUUUGUAUCACUUGCUAAUACUUGAGCUUGGUGUAGACAGUUGUCGAGGAUACAUAAGGGUGUGCUAGAAUAUAAUAAUGAUGAGGUAGUUCAUAGCAAAAUAUUAAAAAGCAAAUGAGCAAAAAAAGUAGAUAUUAAGGAAUACAUGUCAUUAAUAUUUAUAAUAUAUGGGUGUUCAAUAAGGGUAUUUUUAAUUAAUGUUGAAUUAAUUAUAAGGUGAGGAAAUAUUUUAAAUUAGUGUUUAAUAUACUAUAGGACCCAUAUCUUUUGAAAAACACUCUAUGUGAUAAUAUUUAUUUUAUUGGGACAUUUAUAAAUUGGUUUAAUACAAUGUAUACUUUCCUAAUUUAAACAAGAGCAUAAAUUCCAAUUGCUUAUUUAUAAAAAACAAUUUGGGAUUUUUUUUAAUAGAAAUGGGAAAUUAUAAAUGCCUUAAUUCAUUUUCAAUUAUUUCAAAGGUAAGAAGAAAAAGAAUGCCAAAAAUGUGGACCAUUUUAUUAUUUAGUUAAGCAUUAUAGUACUGCAAAUCCUUUUUCCACCAUCUUUUCAAACUUUUGCCGUGACAGAAUUGUUUUUGAUACCCACAUAGAAAAGAUUAAAUGAGUAGAAAAGAAGAUCAAUAUGAAAAAUUUAAAGGAACUGUCAUUUUUCAGCCUAGGAAGAGAGAGAAUGCCGAAAGACUUCUAAUGUAUGGAGUUUAAACAUCAGAUGGUGAUUGAUUGCUAUUAAUUUAUGUCAGCAAAGGAGGAGAAGAAAUACGUAAAACUGCCUCUGAAGAAUUUACAUUAAACACCAAAAGAAUCUGACUCUGAAAAUGAAGAAACAAGGAAUAUUGUUUGUUUUGGGAAUCAAAAAAAAAAAAAACUUCCCAUUUGAGUACACAAUUUCCUAAACAAGAUACAUGAUAAUUCCAUACACUAUGCUUUCCGAAGAAACUUUGUAAAACGUAUUUUCAUUAUUCAAAACUUGAAAACACAGAAACAAUAUGAUGCAAAAAAUUAUCUUUAGCAUUAUUCCACUAAGAUAAUUCAUUUUAACAUCCAUAUAUUCAUUAUUAUGUAAAAUACCUAUCAGUAUGUGGGUAUAUCUUUGUGUGUAUAUUUUAACAAAACAAAAUUCAAUAAAAAUUGAAAUACAGAAAUGACAAAAACACACAAAAAAUAUAAAUUAUUUCCAUUGUAGCAUAUAUUACCUUUUUCACCUAACAUUAUACUGUAGGAAUAUAUUCUUUCAUCAUUCAAUGCUUUUGAAAAUAUAAUAAUAUUCCAUUUUAAGGACAUGCUAUAAUUUAGUUCAUUAGUUUUUAAACUUUUAGAUUAUCUCAUUUUGUCAUCAUUUAAAAAAAGUGUUCCUGGAUGUCCUUUUGCAUAGACUUUUGAAUGUAUUUCUGACUAUUUUCUUAACCUGUCCUGUACUUCUGCAAGUAGAACUGCUUGAGCAGAGAUUAGGAGCAAUUUUAAGGUUUUUCAAAAAUCUUGACAAACUAUUCUGCAGGAAAAAUGUAUCUUGUUACCAUCAGCAUUUUUAAGUAACUAGUGACUAAUUGUAAAAAUAAUUGUGUUUCCUUGUAUUUAAGCCUUGCGCUAUAGAUUUUAAAAAUUUGUCCUUUUUUUUUUUUCAUUUGUAAAAAAAAGCCAUCUAAAAGACCUUAGAACCUGGUAUCAGCUGAAGCUUACUAAACCAUAUCAAGAAGAUCAUGUCAUUCUCAAGAAAAGCAUGUUUCAAAUAAAAAGGAAAUGUCAGCCCUGAGCGUUUUUAUUAACCAUCUCCCCAUCUGACUUCAGAGACAGCUUUAGCUGACCACUUCCUCUCUCGGGUUUAUUUGUAUUAGAAAUAAGUGGAUUCAUUAACUGUGCCACUUGGUGGUCAGGCCAGGCCUGCCAGUGUCCAAUAACAGGUAAUGGUUGUAUUUUUCACGGGGUGACUGAUGUUUACUUUGUUGAUGGCCCCAGGAGCUCAUGUAAUCUGAGAUAGGUCUUUGUUUACUUCUUGUUUUACUGAUAUGCUGACCCAUUUGAAACUAGCGAGAAAGAAAAAUAAACAUUCUGGAAUAUGGUACCUGAAGUCACUCUUCCUUAGUGGCUUUAUUGUAACCUCUUCAAAGGCUUUUGUUAACCCACUCUUUUCCCAGCAAAAAACCCUGAUCUGGUCUCUUUUCCAAUUAAACCAAAAGCAAUAUCACACCAAAUAAGCAAACAGAAAAUAUUGAAAUUACCACUUAAAGAGAGUUUUAUCUGGGGUUUAAUUGUGUGUGUACUCAAGCGUUUAGUGUAGGUCAUUUGCUAAUGACAUCUAGUAAUUUUUAAAAACUGGAUAAAACUGAUACUGAGCCUGUCUACAGCAAUUUAACUAUUUUGGGGGAGUAUAAAGUUAGAUUUGUCUAUACUGACUUGUUUGCUCCAUUUUAAAAACUGUGUUGGAAUGAUUUAUUAUGGAUGAUCCAAAAUAAACGUGAAGUGAGGAAACUAUUUUUUAAUUACCACUGGUAGCAUAUUUAAUGGAAUUGUGU